GCUUGCUCCCGGAUGUUAGCGGCGGACGGGUGAGUAACACGUGGGUAACCUGCCUGUAAGACUGGGAUAACUCCGGGAAACCGGAGCUAAUACCGGAUAGUUCCUUGAACCGCAUGGUUCAAGGAUGAAAGACGGUUUCGGCUGUCACUUACAGAUGGACCCGCGGCGCAUUAGCUAGUUGGUGAGGUAACGGCUCACCAAGGCGACGAUGCGUAGCCGACCUGAGAGGGUGAUCGGCCACACUGGGACUGAGACACGGCCCAGACUCCUACGGGAGGCAGCAGUAGGGAAUCUUCCGCAAUGGACGAAAGUCUGACGGAGCAACGCCGCGUGAGUGAUGAAGGUUUUCGGAUCGUAAAGCUCUGUUGUUAGGGAAGAACAAGUGCAAGAGUAACUGCUUGCACCUUGACGGUACCUAACCAGAAAGCCACGGCUAACUACGUGCCAGCAGCCGCGGUAAUACGUAGGUGGCAAGCGUUGUCCGGAAUUAUUGGGCGUAAAGGGCUCGCAGGCGGUUUCUUAAGUCUGAUGUGAAAGCCCCCGGCUCAACCGGGGAGGGUCAUUGGAAACUGGGAAACUUGAGUGCAGAAGAGGAGAGUGGAAUUCCACGUGUAGCGGUGAAAUGCGUAGAGAUGUGGAGGAACACCAGUGGCGAAGGCGACUCUCUGGUCUGUAACUGACGCUGAGGAGCGAAAGCGUGGGGAGCGAACAGGAUUAGAUACCCUGGUAGUCCACGCCGAAACGAUGAGUGCUAAGUGU
rnacentral:rRNA from 1 species